rnacentral:rRNA from 1 species
UGGGGGGACCAUCCUCCAAGGCUAAAUACUCCUGACUGACCGAUAGUGAACCAGUACCGUGAGGGAAAGGCGAAAAGAACCCCUGUGAGGGGAGUGAAAUAGAUCCUGAAACCGCAUGCAUACAAGCAGUGGGAGCACCUUCGUGGUGUGACUGCGUACCUUUUGUAUAAUGGGUCAGCGACUUAUAUUCAGUAGCGAGGUUAACCGUAUAGGGGAGCCGUAGAGAAAUCGAGUCUUAAUAGGGCGUUUAGUUGCUGGGUAUAGACCCGAAACCAGGCGAUCUAUCCAUGAGCAGGUUGAAGGUUGGGUAACACUAACUGGAGGACCGAACCCACUGUCGUUGAAAAGCCAGGGGAUGACUUGUGGAUAGGGGUGAAAGGCUAAUCAAGCCUGGUGAUAGCUGGUUCUCCCCGAAAGCUAUUUAGGUAGCGCCUCGGACGAAUACCAUAGGGGGUAGAGCACUGUUUCGGCUAGGGGGUCAUCCCGACUUACCAAACCGAUGCAAACUCCGAAUACCUAUGAGUACUAUCCGGGAGACAGACUGCGGGUGCUAACGUCCGUAGUCAAGAGGAAAACAAUCCAGACCGCCAGCUAAGGCCCCAAAAUCAUAGUUAAGUGGGAAACGAUGUGGGAAGGCAUAGACAGCUAGGAGGUUGGCUUAGAAGCAGCCACCCUUUAAAGAAAGCGUAAUAGCUCACUAGUCGAGUCGGCCUGCGCGGAAGAUGUAACGGGGCUAAAACUAUGUGCCGAAGCUGCGGAUGUAUACUUUGUAUACG